GAAAUGACAUACAAAAGUGUAAACCCCAAGGGGUAGCUCUGUUGGCAAGGACCAACACCUCACAAUUAAGAGGUCAUGAGUUCAACUCUCCUUGAGGGCUAUCUAUCCAA